rnacentral:rRNA from 1 species
UACUCGAGUGGCGAACGGGUGAGUAACACGUGGGUGAUCUGCCCUGCACUUCGGGAUAAGCUUGGGAAACUGGGUCUAAUACCGGAUAGGAGCCAUCUUUAGUGUGGUGGUUGGAAAGUUUUUUCGGUGUAGGAUGGGCUCGCGGCCUAUCAGCUUGUUGGUGGGGUAAUGGCCUACCAAGGCGGCGACGGGUAGCCGGCCUGAGAGGGUGUACGGCCACAUUGGGACUGAGAUACGGCCCAG